UACAGAGGGGGCGAGCGUUGUUCGGAAUUACUGGGCGUAAAGGGCGCGUAGGCGGCCAACUAAGUCAGACGUGAAAUCCCUCGGCUCAACCGGGGAACUGCGUCUGAUACUGGAUGGCUUGAAUUCGGGAGAGGGAUGCGGAAUUCCAGGUGUAGCGGUGAAAUGCGUAGAUAUCAGGAGGAACACCGGUGGCGAAGGCGGUUCUCUGGGCAUGUCCUGACGCUGAGGAGCGAAAGUGUGGGGAGCGAACAGG
rnacentral:rRNA from 1 species